GGUCAAUGAUGUACUGGCAUGUAUUAUCUGAAAUUGCUGAUGUGUGAUAACACUUGUAGCUCUAGAAUUACGCUGAGACCUU
ensembl:snoRNA Gm24494 predicted gene, 24494